UGGGUAUAGGUGUAAACCCUCUGCGGAAGGAUUCAUUAUCGAGCUAAAGACAAAAAGUCUCGAACCGUGCAUGCUUUCCAUAUGCGCGUAUACGUGAGCGCGCAGCAAGUUGCACACAUGUGGUGGUGGUGGCCGUCAGCCGUGCUUUUUUUGGCAGACAAUGGUCUGUAGCUUGCUGUGUGUUGAGGGGGGAUAGGUGACGUACUGGGCUAGUUAGAAAGGUACGUCGCUAGCGCCUAUCCACCCGUUAUUCGUAAAAACGGUAUCCACUUUGGCGUCUACGCCUCACCUAGCUAUUGCCUGGACCGUCGGUAGCUAUGAAAGGUGGGGAUAAAGCUCCUCGUUUCGAGUCGAGUAGACUUAAUGAGCCUCAGCUAGGAGGCCGCCGAAACCCAAACACAACCAGUCCUAUGUUUGAAGUGGUAGAAGGUGCUUCUCAUCACCCUUGUUGGUGGUGGAUCACCUUCAAAUCGAGUUAUAAAUCUUAGCGGUGGAUCACUCGGUUCGUGGAUCGAUGAAGAACGCAGCUAGCUGCGAUAAAUAGUGCGAAUUGCAGACACAUUGAGCACUAAGAAUUCGAACGCACAUUGCGCCAUCGGGUUCAUUCCCGUUGGCACGUCUGGCUGAGGGUCGAAUUAUCGACAAUCAUCCGUGUUGAGUAGCUUCGCUCUAGUGAUCGAAGCGUCGCUCAUGCGGUGUAUUCGGCGAGCUAUGGUUCUCUUCGGACCAUACCUUGCUUAGGCUAUGCCAUAUUACUCGCAAUCAUUUGCUCCAUGCGAGGCGAUGAUGGCCGUCAAGUGUUGCUCUCCGAUGCGGCUCCGAGCACGUGUUGCUUAUUGGUGGUGAUAUGUGAAAGGUUUGGGGCAUGCAUCGACAGGUGGUGUUGAGAGUGGUGCUAGGUGGUUGUCACUCUGUUUGACCUCAGCUCAGUCGGACAGACGUGGUGUCGGGCG
rnacentral:misc_RNA from 1 species